rnacentral:rRNA from 1 species
AUCGGGAAUCUUGCGCAAUGGACGAAAGUCUGACGCAGCGACUCCGCGUGAGGGACGACGGCCUUCGGGUUGUAAACCUCGUUAUAAGCACCGGCUAACUACGUGCCAGCAGCAGCGGUCACACGUAGGGUGCAAGCAUUACCCGGUCUUACUGGGCGUAAAGAGUUCUGUAGGCGGUCAUAUAAGUCGAGGGUUAAAUCUUCCGGCCUAACCGGGAAACUGCUCUUGAUACUGUGUGACUAGAGGUGAUUAGGGGGUAACGGAACGUAUGGUGGAGCGGUGAAAUGCGUUGAUAUCAUGCGGAACACCAAGGGGGAAGCCAGUUACCUGGGAUUCACCUGACGCUGAGAGACGAAAGCGUGGGGAGCGAAACGGAUUAGAAACCCGUGUAGUCC